GUCUCUGUCAGGUCUGUCCUAUGGUACCUGAACUUGUAGUUCACGCUUAUCCUUCCCGGGUUCAAGUCUCCAUUUCUACAGCAACAGAGCACAGACGCUGGCUGGCAAGGGCCUGCCCCAGCACAGUGAUGUCACAUCUGCACUACCCCUUCAGGCCCCACACAGGGAGAAGCACUUCCCUCCAAGCAGCCUGAGAACCUCCUCUGAUCUCUGUGCUGGCUCUACUUGUGCUUCACAGUCGAGACCUGGGAGCAUCUCUGUCCACCUGCAUGCCUGUCCCCCGGGAAGGAAAGAGGGUUGCAUGUUUUCCCUUGUGCAGCCAGUGAGGACUUAGAUGGCCCCGCUGUUCUGCAAUGAACUUGACUUUUCUUGGAUUACCAGUUCUGCAAGGGUGCUUUUGCAAACAGUUUCAUCUGGCUGAAUACCAGUAGAGAGCAGGCCGUGUCAGUGGGCUCACAUGGAGACCGGACACCGCAUUUCUCUGGGAGCUCCCUGGCUGAGCAGGGCUGGUCUCUGGCAUGGGACACCAUCCUCCCCAGGUCCACUAUAGCUGUUUGAGCAGUUCAGCUGCUCAAAAGGUGCUAUUGCAGAGCACAGGAAGAAAGCCUCAACUCUAGCACACUUACAAAUAAAGCCUCCAGCACAGAGGGGAGACUGAGGAAGAGUCAGCGACUUCCUCCCAAACUGUGGCGACGUUUCAGAGUUGCUCACUUGCUGCCUCAGCAGAGACCUUGGCCAAUGCUGCUGGAGUGAUGGAGUAGUCACCACCUCUGAUCUGGUGGUUUGUGACCCCGUGCCAGAGGCGUGGUAAUCGGACAGCAAGAGCUUCCAGUCCCUCACAGUGUGAGCUGGGGCUCAGGCUUGUGCGAGCUCUUUAGCACCUGCAUCUCCAGGGACCAGGAGCAAAUGUCCACUCACUGGCACUGCAGGAGCUUUGGCUCCAUUCUUCUGCUCCUCGGAAAAAACCUGGCUCUUAUCACUGAAAUCCCUCAGGAUUCGGUCAAUGGCACUGUGGGCCACUCCGUGCUCCUGCCCGUCUCCUACAAAUUCACAAACUCCUCUUGCUUCCCACUGUCGUUUCACUGGACGUUCAGUAACCGCUCGGACGCGCUCAUCACCUGCACGGUGCUGAACUGCUCCCUGAGCGCGGAGGGGGCUCCCAAGCACUGCUUUGCAAAGCAUUUCCCACACGCCGCGUACCGAGGUCGCGUUGUGCUUUUCCCUGAGAACGCGUCCCUGCUGCUCCAGGACCUGCAGCUCAGCGACGGCGGGGUGUACAGCGUCACCUUCAAACAGCGGAUCCAAACCAGGCACAUCACCUUAACUGUGUAUAACCCUCAUUUUAGCUCUAAAAAUGCAGGUGCAGUUCAGCAGAAGAAAAGGAGAACCAUUACACAACAAGAGGUCUCACAUGCUGAGGAGUCUCCCAUGGAAAGCACCAUGAUGAGAGAUACAGCAAAUAUUUAUGCCAGAGUUGGAGACAGCUUUGAACAGCCACAGCCAAGAGCAACGCCAGAGGUUGUUUACAUGUCUGCAACCUUCUCUAACCCACCAGGAUCGGAUUGGGCACUGUCGGCUUGUGCAGCAACUGUGGAGCUGCCUCAAGUGGGAGCCUUAAACUUUGCUAAAGAUAGUCCUGUUUAAAAAUGAAGAGGAUGUUUUUGUCACUGUCUCUGCUGAUGUGACCCUCAGUGUUUCUACUCCGGCAGCUCUUAGUCUGCACACUGAGCACAGGUUGUAAAGGAUUUGGAGCUACUGAGUACAGAAAUGCCUUAGUUUGCCUCAAUCUGCAGUCUCUGUUGAACUUGAGAAGUGAGCUGGUUUUAGUUUCUUCUUGACAUUUCCUGAGACUACAAAGACACAUAGCAUAAGAGAAAGAUUCAUAAGGCAAAGGCAAAUCAGCAGUUUGGUAAAUGGGGACCUUACUUCCAUAGACUAACCCUAACUAGAGGUGUAAUGGAGAACAUUAAAUGGAUCUUAAUCAUGUGACCCAGGUUCACUGCCAAAGGUCUUGGCAUAUUAAAAGAACAUAUCAAGAUCAUUUGGACUGAAAAGUUGUUGUUAUUUUUAGGACUGUUCCAAAUAAUUGUUGUGCAUAUUCUUCCUACGAUAAGAUUAGCUUGACCUUGGGAUCCUAGGGCAAUAGCUUUCUCCACUGUUGUUUUGAAAUGUCCCUGUGAAGUGCAAGGAGAUGGGGCUUUCUGUACAAUGGAUUUCCUGACACAUAAUGUCAUUUCCAAAAAACUGUGGAAGAAAGUAGAGCUGUGUAGUUUAAAGUCAAAACAUUUGCAUUUCAGGCUCCUUCAAAAUGCUGUGAGCGCAUAAAUUAGUUUUCCUUUCCCUCUGGGUGUCAUGGUAAACCAGAUAGUAUGCACCAGAACAUUAUGCGCCAUUAGUAAUAAAUGGAUACAAGAAAAGGAUGAAAAAUCUUGA
rnacentral:lncRNA from 1 species